rnacentral:rRNA from 2 species
UAAGUGAAGAGUUUGAUCCUGGCUCAGAGUGAACGCUGGCGGUAGGCCUAACACAUGCAAGUCGAACGGCAG